GAUGAACGCUAGCUACAGGCUUAACACAUGCAAGUCGAGGGACCGGCGCACGGGUGAGUAACACGUAUCCAACCUGCCCUUUACUCGGGGAUAGCCUUUCGAAAGAAAGAUUAAUACCCGAUGUAAAGGAUGGGGAUGCGUUCGAUUAGGUUGUUGGUGAGGUAACGGCUCACCAAGCCUUCGAUGGAUAGGGGUUCUGAGAGGAAGGCCCCCCACAGUGGAACGUAGACACAGUCCAAAAUCGUACGGGAGGGAGCAGUGAGGAAUAUUGGUCAAUGGGCGUUAGCGUGAACCAGCCAAGUAGCGUGAAGGAUGAAUGGUUAUUGGUCGUAAUCUUCUUGGAUAGAAGAAUAUGUAUUAUAUGAAUAAGGAUCGGCUAACUCCGUGCCAGCAGCCGCGGUAAUUC
rnacentral:rRNA from 1 species